rnacentral:rRNA from 1 species
UACGUAGGGUGCAAGCGUUUAAUCGGAAUUACUGGGCGCAAAGCGUGCGCAGGCGGUUAUGUAAGACAGGUGUGAAAUCCCCGGGCUCAACCUGGGAAUGGCAAUGGAUACUGGCAAGCUAGAGUGUGUCAGAGGAUGGUGGAAUUCCCGGUGUAGCGGUGAAAUGCGUAGAGAAUCGGGAGGAACAUCAGUGGCGGAAGGCGGCCAUCUGGGACAACACUGACGCUGAGGCACGAAAGCGUGGGGAGCAAACAGG